rnacentral:lncRNA from 1 species
CUGCUGCUGCUGUUGCUGCAGUUGCUCGAUCGGAAGGAGGAGCGAUGGAAACUCCUACCCCAUACCACCUGCAGUCCCCAAGGACCAUCGUCAAGAAGAUCAUCAGCAUGAAGCGGCAGCAGGAGCAGCAGUCCAAGAUCAUCCUGCAGCCGCGGCGCCGGACCACCCCGGCGAUGUGGUGCGCCGCCAUCGCCGGCUUCGCCUUCAGCGUCCUCCUCAUCCUCGCCGGCCUCGUCAUCCUCAUCGUCUACCUCUCGGUGAAGCCGAGGACGCCGUCCUUCGACGUCGCCAACGCCGCCCUCAACGCCGUCUACAUCGGCUCCCCCUCGUCCUACUACAACGGGGACAUGACGCUGGUGGCCAACAUCUCCAACCCCAACCACAAGAUGGGCGUCGUCAUCCAGUCCGGCGCCCUCGAGCUCUUCUUCCGGGGCAGGCUGGUGUCGGCGCAGGCUUUGCCGCCGUUCGCGCAGCCGCGGGGGCACUUCACCGUCCUCAACGUCCACAUGCUCUCCAGCCAGGUGGUGCUGCCGCCGGAGGUGGCCGCCGACCUGCUCAACCAGAUGAGGAGCAACAAGAUCCUCUACACCAUCAGAGGGAGCUUCAUGGUCCGGGAAAGGUUCUGGUCUUGGCACUACACCUAUCGGUUGACCGCCAUUUGUGACAUCGAGCUCACCGCGCCUCCCUCUGGAGUUCUUCUUGAUAGGAGAUGCACAACAUCAAAGUGAUUAUAUUGCUUUCCCUUGUGGAUCGAUGCUCUUUCUUUUCUCUUCUUGUAUCAAAUUUUAGAGGAAUUAAUUGGGUCAAGGCAUGCAUAUAUAUAUAUAUAUAUAUAUANNNNNNNNNNNNNNNNNNNNNNNNNNNNNNNNNNNNNNNNNNNNNNNNNNNNNNNNNNNNNNNNNNNNNNNNNNNNNNNNNNNNNNNNNNNNNNNNNNNNGCCCGAGCCCAUCUCGGCCCGAGUCCGCCGCCGCCGCCGCUGCCUCCCGUGCUCCCGUGCCCAGCGCCUCCUGCCUAGCGCGCCGGCCAGCCUUCGAGCCGCAGCUUCCGGCCCGAGCAGGGUCUCCAACCGGAGCCGCCGCCCCCGGAUCUGCCUCCUCCGACCGCCUCCCGCCGCCGCCGGUUAUCCCGCUCGCCGCCAAGGUCGUUCGUCGCAGUUCCGUUCCUCCCCGCACCGCGUGCCCGAAGCUCGCCGGAUCUAGCCUCGCCGGGAUCUCCUUCGCUGGCCGCCGCAGUCACCCCGCGCAGAUCCAUGCAGCGAGAGGCGGAUCCCCUCGCCGGCUCCCGCGGCUUGGCAGCCCUCGCCGGUGCCUCCUCGGCGCCUGCCGCCCCAGCGCNNNNNNNNNNNNNNNNNNNNNNNNNNNNNNNNNNNNNNNNNNNNNNNNNNNNNNNNNNNNNNNNNNNNNNNNNNNNNNNNNNNNNNNNNNNNNNNNNNNUUUCCUCCUGGUCGCGGGAGGACGAGGAGCUCCCUCCCCGUGACCGCUCUUGGGCCGCCUCCAGCUGGGCCUCGCUAGCGUGGGCCUGCCCCUCCGCUCGUGGGCCGCCUCCUCCAGCAGGCUUGCCUCAACCCCCCUCCACCAACCGGCCCGUGUGGCCCUCUGGUAGCAUCCCUAUGCCCCGCCCCGGCGCGACUAAGUUAAUUUGCGCACGCCUGUUGAGCCCAUUAGCUGUUAGGCCCGGUAGUAUUUUAAUUUAUGUUUGCCCGAAUUAGUUGUAUUUCAGGAGUUAUCUAAAUAUAUAAAACCCCGUAAAUUUUUAACCGUAAUUCGGAACGACGUGUUAUAUAUGUUUUUGUGGUAGUUUCGCGCGAAGAGUACGAAUUUAUAACUUGCAUAUUUAUUUGACGCCGUUUAGAGUGCCUAAUGCGUGGAUUUACAUGCUGUCUCAAUAAGUAGGUGCCCGCAUUUAUUUUCCUCGCGUGUUUGAAUUGCUCGCAUGCCAUGAUAGAAAUGCUCGUGUUUUAGGGAUCAUUUUUGCAUGUGUUUUAGAGCGGUCACUUGUAUUUUUACGUGUAGGGAUUUGCCGGUAGUAUAUUUUCCCGUAUAUAGGUUAUUUCCCGUAUCAAUGUGUGGCAUUAUUUAGUGUUGCAAACCCCACAUAUUUUAUAUGUUUCCGGGGUAGAAAAAUCCCAUGGAUUUUUCUGUGCAAUUAGUUUUAGCUUUUGAGGAAGUUAGUUCACGAGAUAUUUUGCCGUGAUGCCCUUUUGUUUAAUUCGUAGGAUUUAUUCCGUACGUUGUUUUACGGAGUUGUCAACUAGAGAGUUGAUCUUGGAUGUUUUGUCUAGUCCCUGGUAUUUUUGGUUGCAAUAGAAAUGCAUGUUUAGGUGUUGUUUGCUUGAUCCCAAGUUGCUAGAAAUAGUGCUGUUUUAGACGUGCUGAAAUAUUUCUAAGUCUGGAAUCUGUUAUAUUUUGUUGCUGUCUUGUCUUGCUUGCCUCUUGUGAUCUGUAGCUCUUUUGGGGUUGGUCCAAUGGAGUUAGUUGUACCCCUUGUGUUUCUCUAGCAUGCUGUUAAGUUUCAUGCCAUUUGGAGACCUGUAUCUUGGGAUUUUUCUGCUGUCAAUAUGCCUUCAGGCUGAAAACUGCACUUUCAUGAGGUGUUAUUUUCACUAAGUCUGAAAUAGUGUGUGUGAUGCCAUUUUGUGUCUUCUUUUCCUAGUGCUCCUUGCUGCCAUGCUAGUUGUUCUUAGUUGUUUGUAGUAGUGCGUCUUUCCCUCUUUCGUGCCAUGCCUUGAUUGAGUUCAUCGGAGUUGUAUAGCUCGUAGUUGUGGGGUGUAGAAGAUGCUAAGUGGCUGAUUUUGGCAGAUUGUAGUGUUUUCUUGUCAUGCUCGUAGUUNNNNNNNNNNNNNNNNNNNNNNNNNNNNNNNNNNNNNNNNNNNNNNNNNNNNNNNNNNNNNNNNNNNNNNNNNNNNNNNNNNNNNNNNNNNNNNNNNNNNCAUUUGCCUAAACACCUAAGAAAAUUACAUAGGGACUUCCCGGGACCCGAGGAUAAUUUAAUCAACCCCCGGGCCAGUGCUCCUCAUGAGUGUUGGUCCAAAACAGAGCACUGUGCGGGGCCACCGUGAGGAAACUCGAGGUUUGGCACUUGUACGUGUCGCUUAUCCGCCGUGUCCUGAGAACGAGGUACACGACUCCUAUCAGGAUCGUCGACACGUCGGGCGGCCUUGCUGGAUUAGUUUUACCUUUGACGAGAUAUCUUGUGCAUCGGGAUUCCGGUGAUGCUUUGAGUAAUCUCAGAGUUGAGGUUUUCCACUAGGUAAUUCGACGAGAUCGCGAACUUCGUGAUUGAUGAUUUCUAUGCGGCUUGUGGUAAUUUGUGAUGGACUAGUUGGAGCACCCCUGCAGGGUUAAAUCUUUCGGAAAGCCGUGCCCGCGGUUAUGUGGCAACGUGGAAACUUUGUUUAACACUGGUUCUAGAUAACUUGAAGUGAAUUUAAUUAAAAUAUGCCAACUGUGUGCGUAACCGUGACUGUCUGUUUCGUGAGUUCCUUCUCCGAUCGAGGACAUGGUGGGGUUAUGUCUGANNNNNNNNNNAUACCCGCGGUUAUGUGGCAACGUGGAAACUUUGUUUAACACUGGUUCUACAUAACUUGAAGUUAAUUUAAUUAAAAUAUGCCAAUUGUGUGCGUAAUCGUGACUGUCUCUUUCGUGAGUUCCUUCUCCGAUCGAGGACAUGGUGGGGUUAUGUCUGAUGUAGGUAGGUGUUCAGGAUCAUUCAAUUGAUCAUUAGUAGUUCACGACCGAUAUGCAUAGAUCUCCCCCCUCUUAUUCUUGUACUCGUAAGUUUAGCCACCAAAUCUAUGCUUAGCCGCUGCUGCAACCUCACCACUUAACCAUACCUCACCCAUUAAGUUUUGCUAGUCUUGAUACCUUUGGAAACGAGAUUGCUGAUUCCCCUGUGGCUCACAGAUUACUACAACACCAGUUGCAGGUACAGGUAAAGGUUACUUGACGCGAGCGCAUUGAUUGUUCAUUUGGAGUUGCUUCUUCUUCUUCUUCUUCAUCGAUCUAGGAUGGGUUCCAGGCCGGCANNNNNNNNNNNNNNNNNNNNNNNNNNNNNNNNNNNNNNNNNNNNNNNNNNNNNNNNNNNNNNNNNNNNNNNNNNNNNNNNNNNNNNNNNNNNNNNNNNNNUGAGAGAGGGGUAAGAGCAUCUUCGUACCUUUGAAGAUCGCUAAGCGGAAGCGUUGCUAGAACGCGGUUGAUGGAGUCAUACUCGCGGCGAUUCCGAUCUAGUACCGAACAACGGCACCUCCGCGUUCAACACACGUGCAGCCCGGUGACGUCUCCCGCACCUUGAUCCAGUAAGGAGGAGGGAGAGGUUGGGGAAGAAGUCCAGCAACACGACGGCGUGGUGUCGAUGGAAAGACGAGGUCUCCCGGCAGGGCUUCGCCAAGCACCGGCAGAGAGGAGGAGGAAGAAGUGCACGGCUGCGCCGAGGGAGAGGGAAAACCGUGUCCUCCAAAGGUCAAAAGUGCCCACUAUAUAUAGGGGAAAGGGAGAGGGGUUGCCACCCCUAGGGUUCCCACCCUAGGGGNNNNNNNNNNGGGCUGCGCCGAGGGAGAGGAAAAACCGUGUCCUCCAAAGGCCAAAAGUUCCCACUAUAUACAGGGGAAAGGGAGAGGGGUUGCCACCCCUAGGGUUCCCACCCUAGGGGUUGCGGCAGCCCUCCCAGAUGGGUGGUGCGGCGGCCAGAUGGGAAGGAGGGGGUGGCGCACCCACUGGUGGGCCUUAGGCCCACCUGGCCUAGGGUUUGCCCCCCCCUUUUUCUUUCCCCUGCGCCAUGGGCUGAGUGGGGAGGCGCACCAGCCCACCUAGGGGCUGGUUCCCACCCCCACUUGACCCACAUUACCUCCCGGGGUCGCAGCCCCCUUCGGUGGUCCCGGUGGUCCCGGUACAUUACCGGUGAUGCCCGAAACACUUCCGGUGUCCGAAACCAUCCGUCCUAUAUAUAAAUAUUUACCUCCGGACCAUUCCGGAGCUCCUCGUGACGUCCGGGAUCUCAUNNNNNNNNNNNNNNNNNNNNNNNNNNNNNNNNNNNNNNNNNNNNNNNNNNNNNNNNNNNNNNNNNNNNNNNNNNNNNNNNNNNNNNNNNNNNNNNNNNNNCUCGGGCGGAGCCCUGCUGAGAUUAGAUCACCACCAACCUCCGGAGCGCCGUCACGCUGCCGGAGAACUCAUCUACCUCUCCGUCUCUCUUGCUGAAUCAAGAAGGCCGAGAUCAUCGUCGAGCUGUACUUGUGCUGAACGCGGAGGUGCCGUCCGUUCGGCACUAGAUCGUGGGACUGAUCGCGGGACGGUUCGCGGGUCGGAUCGAGGGACGUGAGGACGUUUCACUACAUCAACCGCGUUUACUAACGCUUCUGCUGUGCGAUCUACAAGGGUACAUAGAUCGGAAAUCCCCUCUCGUAGAUGGACAUCACCAUGAUAGGUCUUCGUGCGCGUAGGAAAUUUUUUGUUUCCCAUGCGACGUUCCCCAACAAUGAUGAGGUGUUAAUCACAUUAAAUAGUUUAGGAACUAAAAUUCCCAAUGCAUAGUUGCUUAACUUAUUGUACUACUUUCGUCAUGGUUUAGAAGGCACGGUUAAAUUUACGUGCAUUUCCAUAAUAGACAUGGUUUAAGGCGCAUUGCAUUUACUUCUAUCAACCAAAUAGUACUCCGUUGUACUACUUUUAUAUGCAUGCGUAGUGUGAAUGUUAUUUUUUAACUCAUUUCACAGCCAAUCAAUAACCACAUAGGUUCUAGAGAAUUAUCAUGCACGCCUUCAAAAACAUGACAGACGGAGUAGCUAAGGCUUCUUAUUUAAUGCUUUUCCAACUAAAAUUGUGCAUGCAUUGGUGCAUUUCUUUUCAUUUAGUUGCUUCACGCGCUUAGCAUUGUUUCUUCCUAGGGUCACCACACUCAUCUCUUUCCUAUUAAUUAGCUUGUCACAUCAGAUUUUUUGCCUAUGUGGCAGUCUUAGCACCUAUACAAGGUGGAGCAUUGGGAGCAGCCUUAGCUAAUUUACAACCUUGGCACGUGAUCAUAGACAAAAAUGAGAUGCUAACCCAAUCACAUGCAUGCAUGAGCCAUAAAUCAUUAAAUUUAAAUACAACACAUAAGAUACAAUGCAUUGUACUACUUCCUCCGUCACGGUUUAGAAGGCACGCUUGAAAAAUCUCUAGGACCAAGGUAGUCACCGAUUGAUUGUGAGAUGUAGUAGGUGUAGAUGCUAAUGCGCCUAAUCAACUGAGAAAAUACCAGUACUACUUCGUGAGCAGCAAAUUGAGAGGACGCAUGCAUGAGUAGUACUAGUACUAAUUCAUAAGAGUAAUUGCUUUCGCGCCUUAAACCUUGUCUAUUUUAAAAAUGCACGCAAGUUUAAGUGUGCCUUCUAAACCGUGACGGAGGGAGUACUUAUCUGUUUCUUAUGUUUUUAUUACGCAUAUGAUUACGUGUUAAGAGACGAUGCAUUGACAUAGGCCUUAUUAUACAUCCAAUCGGAGUGAGUAGUUAUUUAUCAUCUAGAUAAAAACUAGACACACAACUACCAAUAUGGCUAGAUAUUAAAUCACGUUCGAUGCUCUUAAUUGUGUGGCUGGCUGGCUCCAUUUAUUCCAUUGUCUUAUCGGAUGGACAAUUUCGAUAAGGAUAAAAAAAAAUUGAAGUCAGCCCAUUUUAACACUAGUAGAAAAAGGGCAUUUUGUCCUGGUUCGUAAGGGCCUUCUGUCCCGGUUUCGGAACCGGGACUAAAAGGUCGUUACUAAUGUCCUUGGCCUUUAGUCCCGGUUCUUACACGAACCGGGACAGAUGGGCCUCCACGUGGCUGGUGCGGCGAGCCCGGGCAGCGGAGCCUUUAGUCCCGGUUGGUGACACCAACCGGGACCAAAAGGCAUCCACGCGUCAGCAUUUCAGGUGUUGGGAUUUCUUUUGAAAGGGGGGAGGGGGUUUAGGGGGUUUUGGAGGGUUAAUUUAGGUGUUUCAUAUAUUGUGUUAGCUAGCUAAUGAAUAGAGAGAAGUGUGCUCUCUUAUCUCCGUGCUUGGUCGACGCUACAUACUAUACGUAUGGAGAGGAUUAGACACGCUAGCUAAUAAGCAAAUGAAGGAAACAGAAGAUCGUCAUGAACAUAUGCAUACAAAGAGAAGUGAUAUCGACCACCUCUCCUUCUCUGAGAGAUUGGUCGAACAACAAGUUCUCGUAUAUCUAUCCGACGCUACUGGCUACAUAUAUACUAUAUAAUUAUCUCUUACAAUAUAAUCUCCUAAUUAAAAUUCAACUGAUUAUGGUUCACAUGGUAUUCUCCGUCUUCACGGAUCACGUGGUCAAGAAAGAAUGCCGCCAAUGUUGGGUAACGUCGCAUGGGAAACAAAAAAUUUCCUACGCGCACGAAGACCUAUCAUGGUGAUGUCCAUCUACGAGAGGGGAUGAGUGAUCUACGUACCCUUGUAGAUCGUACAGCAGAAGCGUUAGUGAACGCGGUUGAUGUAGUGGAACGUCCUCACGUCCCUCGAUCCGCCCCGCGAACCAUCCCGCGAUCAGUCCCACGAUCUAGUGCCGAACGGACGGCACCUCCGCGUUCAGCACACGUACAGCUCGACGAUGAUCUCGGCCUUCUUGAUCCAGCAAGAGAGACGGAGAGGUAGAUGAGUUCUGCGGCAGCGUGACGGUGCUCCGGAGGUUGGUGGUGAUCUAAUCUCAGCAGGGCUCCGCCCGAGCUCCACAGAAACGCGAUCUAGAGGUAAAACCGUGGAGGUAUGUGGUCGGGCUGCCUUGAAAAAGUUGUCUCAAAUCAGCCCUAAAACCCCACUAUAUAUAGGAGGGAGGGAGGGGAGGAGGCAGCCUCAAAAUCUAAAGAUUUGGCCGAAAUUGGAGGUGGAGGAGUCCUACUCCAAUCCUACUUGGAGUAGGAUUCCACCUUCCCACUUGCAAACUCUUUCCACCUUGUGUUUUUUCCUUCUCAAACCUUAUGGGCCUUAGUGGGAACUUAUUCCAGCCCACUAGGGGCUGGUUUAUCUCUUCCCAUAGCCCAUGAGACCCCUUGGGGCGUGAUACCCCUCCUGAUGGUCCCCGGCACCCCUCCCGGCACUCCCAGUACACUACCGAUGAGCCCGAAACUUUUCCGGUAAUGCACGAAAACCUUCCAGUAACCAAAUGAGGUCAUCCUAUAUAUCAAUCUUCAUUUCCGGACCAUUCCGGAAACCCUCGUGACGUAUGUGAUCUCAUCUGAGACUCCGAAUAACAUUCGGUAACCAACCAUAUAACUCAAAUACGCAUAAAACAAUGUCGAACCUUAAGUGUGCAGACCCUGCGGGUUCGAGAACUAUGUAGACAUGACCCGAGAGACUCCUCAGUCAAUAUCCAAUAGCGAGACCUGGAUGCCCAUAUUGGAUCCUACAUAUUCUAUGAAGAUCUUAUCAUUUGAACCUCAGUGCCAAGGAUUCAUAUAAUCCCGUAUGUCAUUCCUUUGUCCUUCGGUAUGUUACUUGCCUGAGAUUCGAUCGUCAGUAUCUGCAUACCUAUUUCAAUCUCGUUUACCGGCAAGUCUCUUUACUCGUUCCNNNNNNNNNNUGUGAUCUCAUCCGGGACUCCGAAUAACAUUCGGUAACCAACCAUAUAACUCGAAUACGCAUAAAACAAUGUCGAACCUUAAGUGUGCAGACCCAGCGGGUUCGAGAACUAUGUAGACAUGACCCGAGAGACUCCUCAGUCAAUAUCCAAUAGCGGGACCUGGAUGACCAUAUUGGAUCCUACAUAUUCUACGAAGAUCUUAUCGUUUGAACCUCNNNNNNNNNNGGUCAAUAUCCAACAGCGGGACCUGGAUGCCCAUAUUGGAUCCUACAUAUUCUACGAAGAUCUUAUCGUUUGAACCCCAGCGCCAAGGAUUCAUAUGUUACUUGCCCGAGAUUCGAUCGUCAGUAUCCGUAUACCUAUUUCNNNNNNNNNNAAGAGACUCCUCGGUCAAUAUCCAACAGCGGGACUUGGAUGCCCAUAUUGGAUCCUACAUAUUCUACGAAGAUCUUAUCGUUUGAACCUCAGUGCCAAGGAUUCAUAUAAUCCCGUAUGUCAUUCCCUUUGUCCUUCGGUAUGUUACUUGCCUGAGAUUCGAUCGUCAGUAUCCGCAUACCUAUUUCAAUCUCGUUUACCGGCAAGUCUCUUUACUCGUUCCNNNNNNNNNNGUCACACGGAGUGACAAAUCCCAGUCUUGAUCCAUACUAACUCAACUAACACCUUCGGAGAUACCUGUAGAGCAUCUUUAUAGUCACCCAGUUACGUUGCAACGUUUGAUACACACAAAGCAUUCCUCCGGUGUCAGUGAGUUAUAUGAUCUCAUGGUCAUAGGAACAAAUACUUGACACGUAGAAAACAGUAGCAACAAAAUGACACGAUCAACAUGCUACGUCUAUUAGUUUGGGUCUAGUCCAUCACAUGAUUCUUCUAAUUAUGUGAUCUCGUUAUCAAGUAACAACACUUGCCUAUGGCCAGGAAACCUUGACCAUCUUUGAUCAACGAGCUAGUCAACUAGAGGCUUACUAGGGACAGUGUUUUGUCUAUGUAUCCACACAAGUAUUGUGUUUCCAAUCAAUACAAUUAUAGCAUGGAUAAUAAACGAUUAUCAUGAACAAAGAAAUAUAAUAAUAACUAGUUGUUAUUGCCUCUAGGGCAUAUUUCCAACAGUCUCCCACUUGCACUAGAGUCAAUAAUCUAGUUCACAUCACCAUGUGAUUUCAACGAAUCCAACACCCAUAUAGUUCUGGGGUCUGAUCACGUCUUGCUCGUGAGAGAGGUUUUAGUCAACGGUUCUGAAACUUUCAGAUCCGUGCGUUCUUUACAAAUAUUUAUGUCAUCUUAUAGAUGCUGCUACUACGUGCUAUUCGNNNNNNNNNNCCUAAUGAUGUGAUCCCAUUAUCAAGUAACAACACUUGCCUAUGGCCAGGAAACCUUAACCAUCUUUGAUCAACGAGCUAGUCAACUAGAGGCUUUUUAGGGACAGUGUUUUGUCUAUCUAUCCACACAAGUAUUGUGUUUCCAAUCAAUACAAUUAUAGCAUGGAUAAUAAACGAUUAUCAUGAACAAAGAAAUAUAAUAAUAACUAAUUAUUAUUGCCUCUAGGGCAUAUUUCCAACAAUCUUAGCACCAAUGCAUUGAACGUGGCCUAAUACAACCUCACUAUCUCUCUUUAUUAAAUACAGUGACACAUAAGCAAAAUGCCUAUGAAACCGUGCUAAGAGACUUGCAUUGACAUAGGCCUAAGUCAUCUUACGAAAAUCAGAUUUUUCCAAAACACUUAGGCGCGAUGCAUUAAUUCUCACCUCGUUUCUUGUAUCGUAACAUGAAUAAAGGAAUCAUGCAACCAAUAAAAAUUACGGGAUGUGUAUAUUUUUAAUUACUUGGGACUACCUAACAUUGCACGCAUUGGUUAAUUUAUUGCAUGCAAUGAUAAUAAUUAGCUAAUAAAUAUUAAGUUCUCUUUUUUCCCUUUGCCUUGAUCGCAGUGCACAUCGUAAGAUGACUUAUACAUGAAGACAGAGGGAGUAAGCCUGUUCUAACUCCAAUUUGGUUUAUGUGGAGUUCAGAGUGAAUUUUUUUUUCUCUUAUUUUCUUUUUGAUGAAUUAAAUAGUGUAGGAGUUAGAUGGGCUUUUUUAAAUUCUCAUGCAGACGAGAAUUAGUCAACUGGUAAAACAAAGACCUAAAUAUGUUUCCAAAUUCACUUAUACGAUUAUGACUGAAACCAUGUUCUCCUCUUUCUGUUCCCUACUAUAUAGUCAUUGUCAUAGAAACUGUAAUAACUGCCUGGUCAACAGUGAUGAACACCGUGCUCAUCACUAGUAUUACUCUUCUUCUGUUCCAAAAUAAAUGUCUUAAUUUUAUAUACAUUUUAGCAUAGAGUUACGUUAAAAUUAAGACACUUAUUUUAAGAUGGAAGGAGCAUGACUUAACAUAGACGGCCAUGGAGACUCUCGUCGCUGUUUAGUGGCAUGUGGCUGUAAUAAUAAAACACGGAAGCUAUAUAUUUGUCGGUUGCUUAAAUUUGCAUUCGCUGUUUAGUGGGUGGAAGAAGCAAGAGCGAGGUGAGACGCAUCGCUGAGGUUGAGACAGUGACACCGUGCCAAACAGCACCGACGCUCGAGGAUGGGGUCAAGGCUAAGAAGGUGUUUGGAUCCAAAAGACUAAAAUUAGUCUGACUAAAACUAAUCUCUUUAAAAAGCUAAAGUUCCAAGCAUCCGUGACUAAAGAAAGGCUAAAAGCCAGGCACCCAACUUACAGGCCCCAGCCCCUCCCUCCUCCCUCCACCCCUCGUCCGCCGCCACACUCCCUCCCUUCUCCUCCCAUCCCCUCCCCUCUCAUCCUUCUCCCCGUGCAUCUCCUUCCAGUCCACCCUUCUUCCUCUCCUCCCAUCGGCCUCUCCGACCCGGGGGACCCCGGCCCGGAUCCGCUCACCGACGCACGGCCUUUGUUCUCUGUCUCGUCGCCCUGGCCACCUUGAGCUCGAGCCAAGGAGCGGCUCGGGAGGACGAGGGGGGCAGCAGCCAGUCGUGCCUCGUCCGAGGAGUGGCUCGAGAGNNNN